rnacentral:rRNA from 1 species
AGUGAACGCUGGCGGUAGGCCUAACACAUGCAAGUCGAACGGCAGCACAGUAAGAGCUUGCUCUUACGGGUGGCGAGUGGCGGACGGGUGAGGAAUACAUCGGAAUCUACUUUUUCGUGGGGGAUAACGUAGGGAAACUUACGCUAAUACCGCAUACGACCUACGGGUGAAAGCAGGGGAUCUUCGGACCUUGCGCGAUUGAAUGAGCCGAUGUCGGAUUAGCUAGUUGGCGGGGUAAAGGCCCACCAAGGCGACGAUCCGUAGCUGGUCUGAGAGGAUGAUCAGCCACACUGGAACUGAGACACGGUCCAGACUCCUACGGGAGGCAGCAGUGGGGAAUAUUGGACAAUGGGCGCAGGCCUGAUCCAGCCAUACCGCGUGGGUGAAGAAGGCCUUCGGGUUGUAAAGCCCUUUUGUGGGGAAAGAAAAGCAGCAGGUUAAUACCCCGCUGUUCUGACGGUACCCAAAGAAUAAGCACCGGCUAACUUCGUG